GAUGAACGCUGGCGGUGUGCCUAAUACAUGCAAGUCGAGCGAACAGACGAGGAGCUUACUCCUCUGACGUUAGCGGCGGACGGGUGAGUAACACGUGGAUAACCUACCUAUAAGACUGGGAUAACUUCGGGAAACCGGAGCUAAUACCGGAUAACAUGUUGAACCGCAUGGUUCAACAGUGAAAGACGGUCUUGCUGUCACUUAUAGAUGGAUCCGCGUCGCAUUAGCUAGUUGGUAAGGUAACGGCUUACCAAGGCAACGAUGCGUAGCCGACCUGAGAGGGUGAUCGGACACACUGGAACUGAGACACGGUCCAGACUCCUACGGGAGGCAGCAGUAGGGAAUCUUCCGCAAUGGGCGAAAGCCUGACGGAGCAACGCCGCGUGAGUGAAGAAGGUCUUCGGAUCGUAAAACUCUGUUAUUAGGGAAGAACAAAUGUGUAAGUAACUAUGCACGUCUUGACGGUACCUAAUCAGAAAGCCACGGCUAACUACGUG
rnacentral:rRNA from 1 species